GUGUGGUUGUAGCUUUCUUUAGCGGUCAAAGCGGUCUCCAAUCAAUCCAAAACUCCACCUCUCUGCAUCGGGCUCAGAACCAACAGACCGAUUUGUCCCUCCUCCCCCAUCUCUUCCUCCCGACGCAUCCACGGGCGUGACAAGCCAGCCUCUUCUUCCUUCCCAGGUCGCUGGCGGCAAGACGGAUCUCGGCGUAUUUUUGUUCCCGAGGAGUAUGGUAGCGGAGGAAGACCUCGGCGUGUGCUUCCUCCUCUCCCUCAGCUGUGAGUGUUGGGAUUAUGCGGCUGCUGGUUGUUGCUGAUCCAGGCACACAAAAAAUCAAGAAGAACCAGAAGAGAUAAAAAUGCAAAGGUAGAUUUUGCAAGGAAAAGGGAUGGCCACAACAUAUUGGAUCCCGUAUGUUGUCUCCUUCCUCUGGACUAGCAGCAUAUCUUACUACUUUGUGUAUGUUUCCUGGUUUUGUUCCAAUGAGGAGAGCAAGAUCAUGGCAAUGAGGGCGGCUUGAAGUUUCGGCUGCGGAGUCACAUCCUACAGAGUGGUGAGUGCUCGAUUGCGAGACGCUCUCUGUCACAACAGCGACUCCUGCAAUGGAGAUGGUGGUGCUCGCCACCGGAUACCAAUUUCUGCUUAGGGUGCAGGCUUCAGCUGGCAUUGGUAUGCCUGGUACCAGCGAAGCACGGCUGCCUCUGCCUGCCCUACCGCUUCAAACCUUCGGGCAGGCCACUCGAGGAGUUCUACAAUGCCCCUGCACCAUGCGCUGUUGAUCCGGCGAAGAAGAUUGAAGUUUAUAGCGCCUCUGGCCAUCCAUAUGCAGAAUGUAUGCUCAGUGACACAUGCCAAACUGGAGGGGUAAAUUAGUGUCCUGCACUUGCAUAACACCAGGAGCAACAACAAAGUACAACAAGGGGGAGUAGUAUCAGUGUAUAUAUCUGAAAAUUGCAAUACUGUCGGUGAUGUGUGUUGUUUGGGUUCUUCGUGGUGCCUCCUACAGCAAAAUUUGCAUCAGUAUCUCAGAGAAGUUGGUGCAAUGUCUAAAACAAGCAUGAAGGUUGUUUUUGAAGAAGCUGAUUUCUUAGGAACUCUCAACAGGAGAUGACCAAAGGACUAAACAACAUAUACGAAUGAUAGUGUUGGACCAUAGAUGGUAAGAAUUUUGGAUUAGAAAUUGGUGGCGUUAUAUCACUUCCAAGCUGACAUUUAUAUCAGAUGUAUUCAUUUUUUGUUGUUGUUGUUGUUGUUGUUGUUGUUGUUGUUGUUGUUGUUGUUGUUGUUGUUGUUGUUGUUGUUGUUGUUGUAUGCAUCUUUAAUUUUCUACUACUGUGCUUUUUUCUUGAGCCUACAGGGCAAGUUGUCUGCUUCUAAAAUGUGCAAGAAAUCUGAGCUUAGCAUGGUUUUUUCUUGAGGCUACAUGGCAAGUUGCCUGCUUCUAAAAGGUGCAGGAAAUCUGAGAUUAACACGGUAAGUUGGAUUAUCUGGUAAGUUGCAUUAUCUGCCUUUUCCUCAUUGCUUAGCUAGCUAUGGGUGACGUACUCUUACACUAUUACCAUACUACCAGUUGCAGUCCUAGAGUGUUCCUUGGGCAGUAGGAGAAAACGGAUCUAGAUUGGGAGGUCUAGCAUUAUGUCAGUAAAUUAUACGGUAAUGAAAACCAAGUACUAGAACUGUACCAUUUACUUAGUAUUUAUAAUUCAGGUGUUAGUUUGUAUAGUAGGGAUUUCUUUUUGAUGCUUUCCGUACAUCGCACACUACAUUGUCUGGAGAUUUCGACUGCCAAGUAGAAUUGAACUUACUAGAAAACGAGGAUAGGAAUUGGACUGGAAACAAGAUGUUCAGCUUGGUGUGUAGGAAAAAUUGAAUCGGGAAUGUAUGUUCGUUAGAGGGCUGUUGUGAUGUCGUCUACGUGUUCCUGGUUUCAGAGUUUCAGAGUACAGAUAUUAUUUUCCCUUAUUCGUAUGAUCAAGGGAACACUAGCUUCCUUUUGAGAACACUAAAUGAAAACAACUAGCGCCGCACUUCCAGUCCAGUUUUUUUCUCCUUCUUCAGCUUUUCUCAGCCAUUUUAUAUGGUAGCACAUGUUACAUUAAUUUUAUUGUUUAUGUAGGCAGGCAAUCCUACAAGCAGGCGUGGACAGGAGUGUUGAUGGCCUUGAUCUGAACACAAACUAACGAAAUAGAAGACGGCAUGAUCCACCAGACUCAUGACCUUAGUGCAGUUCCCAUGACAGCAAACGCUAACUCCGAGUUGCUCUGUAGCCGUCGAGUCCCAAACAAGAUCAAAUUCUUCUGAUGGCUUCGCCGCAUCGACAGGUUAAACAUCAGGGCUAAUCUACACCACAAGAGCAUCAUCGACUCAGCACACUGCCCCAGAUGCGCCAACAUUGUCGAGGAUCGCAAUCACCUCAUCUUCACCUGCCCUACCACAACAGAGAUCUGUUUCCAGGCUGGACUAACUCCACAGCUGCCAGUGUUAAAUGACAUAUAUAUAUGGAGCCACCCACCCAGCUCUACCCUGCCCUCAUUGGUAAGGACUUCGGUCGCUCUCACGAUCGUACGGAAGAUUUGGGACUCAUGCAACACUUUGAGAUUUAGAAAUGAGACAUAUUCAGCUGCACAAACCCUAGCCAAUACAACCUCUUUUGGAUAUGCCGAUUUAAGAAUCAAUCGAACUCAAAAAGAGGCUGCCCUAUGCUGGCUUGACCACCUCUCCUCAUGUGUCUCUGAAACUUGAUUACUUGAAAUGAAUGAAAUUCAGGUGGAAAUCCUCACCCCUGGUGAACGUUUAAGAAAA